UUAACUCAAACUAUGGAGUUGGAACGUUUACGUACGUUUGCCGCUAGGGGCGCUGUUCCAACUGCAAAAAAAUUUGAGUUA
rnacentral:pre_miRNA from 1 species